CGGGCGCGACGGCGGUCUAAGUCCCUUGGAACGGGGCGUCAUAGAGGGUGAGAAUCCCGUAUGUGACCGGCGAUCAAGCCCGUGCGAAACCCCUUCGACGAGUCGAGUUGUUUGGGAAUGCAGCUCAAAAUGGGUGGUAAAUUUCAUCUAAAGCUAAAUACUGGCCGGAGACCGAUAGCGCACAAGUAGAGUGAUCGAAAGAUGAAAAGCACUUUGGAAAGAGAGUCAAAAGUACGUGAAAUUGUUGAAAGGGAAGCGCUUGCAACCAGACCUGCCCGCGGGCGAUCAGCCGUCCCUUGGGGGCGGUGCACGCGCCCGCGUUCAGGCCAGCAUCGGUUCGGGCGGCCGGAUAAAGGCCCCGGGAACGUAGCUCCUCUCGGGGAGUGUUAUAGCCCGGGGCGUCAUGCGGCCCGCCUGGACCGAGGACCGCGCUUCGGCUAGGAUGCUGGCGUAAUGGUUGUAAGCGGCCCGUCUUGAAACACGGACCAAGGAGUCUAACAUCUAUGCGAGUGUUUGGGCGUCAAACCCAGGCGCGCAAUGAAAGUGAACGGAGGUGGGAACCCAAGGGCGCACCAUCGACCGAUCCUGAUGUCUUCGGAUGGAUUUGAGUACGAGCAUAGCUGUUGGGACCCGAAAGAUGGUGAACUAUGCCUGAAUAGGGUGAAGCCAGAGGAAACUCUGGUGGAGGCUCGCAGCGGUUCUGACGUGCAAAUCGAUCGUCAAAUUUGGGCAUAGGGGCGAAAGGUAAGCGAUCUCUCC
rnacentral:rRNA from 1 species